rnacentral:lncRNA from 10 species
GUGAGCCACCGUGCCUGGCCCACAUGUAUUUUUAAGUAUACAUUUUUGUGUGUGUGUGAAGGGGAGUGAUCUGAUGCGCAGUUGCUGGAAGCUUAUCAUAAUGUGGUCACAAUUUUCACUAUGAAGUAGUUCUCUAAAGGAAGGUCUUUGUGUAAAGACAGACUAUUAGAAAGUUUUUCAUGACUGGUGGUACUGAUUUGCAUACUUUUGUGUAUUCAUGAGUACAAUAAUAUUUAUUGACAGCCUACUGAGUUUCUGGCACUCUCCUGAGUACUGGGAAUACAUCUGUCAAUUGAACUUAAAACACAUUAGCUGUGAUAUAACAAAACAAAAUGAAUGAAUGUAUAUAAUCUCACUAUAGUCAACCGUAUUACUACCUUUCAUGUUGAGGACACACCAAAAUAUUGCAAAAUCCCUUUCUAUUAUUAAGAAUGCUUUAUUUUGAAUAGAAUAAACUUAAUAAAUUUAAAAAAUUAAAAGAGUAGAAAAUAAUCCAAAGGAAUCUAUAAACACAUAUAAGCUAGCAUGGUUAUACAAUGUAUCUAUAUGUACACAUGUCAGGAAUUCAGAGUAAAUGCAAGAAGAUGCCAAAUUGUGAGUCAUUCUUUAAACAAACAUACUGAGAGUUGGUUUUCUACACUACAUGCAUUUGGCAUGCCUACUUGUUGGACAUAGUCAUGACAAUUUCUUGUUUCUUUCACUCAACACAUGUAAUUGAGUGCCUAUGGCGGGCACUGGGCAAGGUGCUGGGAAGAAAAGUUGGGUUACACACAUUCUUGCCCUCCUGGACUUCAUGCAGGAGUUGUUUGAUUUCAUUAUAGAACCAUUUUCUGGGUCCUAAUGUCUACUUUUCAGAAGCAGACAUUUCCCAUUGCUUGUAGGAUGACCACCUCAUACACAUGGUCACCGUCAUCAUCCACCAAGCUCAGGACAACCAUCUCAUCAGGCUCCAUCUUAAAAGAAACUGUGAGAGCCCUUGUCUUGUGAAUUAGCUGCCUCUUCAGCAAUAUCUCUGGUCCUGAUCCUGAGCACUGGCCUCACUGCGAGGUGUUGUGGGUGUUCUGUUCCUCCUACUUCUGAGGCUCCCUUGCCUGGAUUCUCAGAAAACCAGGUCUUAGGCAAGAUGUGACCCUGAGCUGUGCAGCCUUAUAGUCGCAGCCCUUACCUUGCCAGGUUUUAAUGUCCUUCUGUGUACAACAAAGCAUUUAAGGAAUUUUAGGGAUCCCUAGGUUCCUUAAAAGGUACUUCCUGUCUUUCAAGCAAGUGAAAGGAAGAUGCAACCCUGUGAAGCCAAGACGGUUUCCAGAGCCUGGGAGCCAGGUGUGUGUUCCCACGGCUGCCUUGUGUCACAUGCCCAUGAUGAGGACAGUGUGAUAUUUUCACCAAAGCCUUUUCCCACCUCACUGCUAGGCAUUGAAAUGUUCUGAGUUCAUCACAGCAAGAGCAAGAAGGGGUCUUAGCAAUUAAUCAUUCAUUUGAUAGACGAGGAACUUGGAGUCUAAAGGGAUUCAGGCAGAAGAACUUAGCUUUUGACAACCAAUCAGCCUUACUAAAUUUAAACAAAUAGGAUUUUUAAAGUGUAAAAUAAUUUAUGGAAAUACCUUUAAGAGUAUUACUCUCUGCCUUGUUUCUUAGAUCAAAAAGUAACAAACUUACUUAUUUUUGAUAUCUCAGGGAUAUUCUGCUAUGAACGGAAUGUAGUUGUGAAUGGUACUGUCUCUGGAGAUAGAGCUGGGCUCACGUUGUGGCUGUAUCACUUAUUAGUUUCAUGAUGUAGGCCACAGUGUUUAGUCUUUCUGAGCCACAGCAUCCUUACCUGCAAAAUGGAGAGAAUAAUGAUUGGUAUCAAUCUCACUGGGAAGUUGUGAGAAUUAAGUGAUACAAUGUGCAUGUGAAAACAGUAGGAUGCCUGACAUGUAAGUGGGAUUGCUAUUGGAUGCUUUUAUUAUAAUUACUACUAUUAUAAUUUGGAUGUCACUUGGAACUUCUCUGCCUCUUGGGGAUUUAGUUUGAAUAUUUAAUUCCACAGCUGGGGGAAGCUGAAGUUUUUCUCUUAAUUCCUGUUUUAUCCCAACCCUACACUCCCUCCUUAAGGUGCCUCUGUUUCUACUCUUCUGUUGAUGGAUACCAUCUUGUUUGGCUUGCAUUUACCUUCUGCACAUUUGCAGUGAGCCAAGCCUUUUAUAAAAUUGUCCCUUUACUGAAGAUGUGGAAGUUCACAGAAGAGGGAUUGUGCCACACUGUGUGGGUCAUGACUUUCUUCCUUCCCACUCAUGUUCUGCUUCUCCCAGGGCCCACAUGCCAACAUGUGCCUUAGCUAAUCCAUGUAGUUCCUGAAUGGGUAAUUGAUUCCCUCUGUCUGAGAGUUUUCCUCUGGAAGAGUAGACCCAACCAGGAGGACUUUCUUUCUUGGUCCCCCUGGAAUGCUGGUGAGUAAAUAUUCUCUGUUGUUACCUUCAGUUCUGUCAUUAGACUACACUGCACUUCAGUAGACCACAUUAAACUACUCAGAUCAUAGUGGCUUCCAUAUUUGCCCCUACUCCGAAGGAACGCCCUGCUUCUAUUUCAGGAAUUUUCUUUGUCCUCUGUUACUAUCAGCCAGCUACUUGUUGAUGUGAGUGUGCCACCCCUUGGGGUGACCCCCGCUAUCUAACAUGAUGCUUUCAGCCUUUGGGGCAGCAAAGGCCGAGGGCAUUAGAAGUGUGCGUAAAGCUCUCUGAGUGGGAGCUUCUGCUCCCUCCUUCGGGGCAAAAUAAAUAAACCUUAGUACCUGGGCUUUAUGGCAAUUCUUUUGUUGGCUGAGCCACAGUUUUUCUUUAAUUCCUGUUUUUCUAUAUCACUCCAGCUAGCAGAGGUUGACAGAUCAAUGUAGUGUUAAAGAUAUGUAGCAACAUUUGUCUGGCACUAUUGGAAAAUGAGGUGUUUUCUAUAAAUAAAUUCCAGGUAAUGGGAGCUCAUCAUUUUAGAUACCGAAACCUUUAAACAUUUUAAUAAUGUUGGGUGGAGUGCUAAGACAUUAUGUGGCUUAAAAUCUAGAAAAUAAUUGAUGCAUACAAAUAGGAAGGCAGAAUAACAGUGGAUAAGUAUACAGACUGGAGUCAAGCUUGAUUCACAGGGUUCUGCCAUUUUUCCAUCCCAAAUGCAGUGCACAGCAUUGAGCCCAGUAAUACAUCUUGUUUCAUAUGCUUGAUUUGAAGAUGUCAUGCCCCUCCAUGCAAAGUCUUAGCAUAGUGCCAGGCACUUUUUACAUGCUUACUAUCCAGCUCUUCCUGGCCUUAUUGUUACUGUUAACUUUUUUUGUUGUUGUUUUUUUCUUUUUGAGAUGAAGUCUCGCUCUCUCACCCAGGCUGGAAUGCAGUGGCAUGAUCUCGGCUCACUGGAACCUCCGCCUCCCAGGUUCAAGCGAUUCUCCUGCCUCAGCCUCCUGAGUAGCUGAGAUUACAACUGAUGCUUUUCCAAGCCUUCUACAUCCCACAGCUGGUUAUUAGAAUGUGAUAAUCUUGGAGUCAAUAUAUGGAGGGGAUGCUGAAAAAAAUUCACAGGAGACCAACUCAGUCUACCAGCUAAAUCGGUUUGGAGGCACUGAAAUCUAAUAAAAAACACAUCUGAGUAUCCAAUCCUGGACCCACUGCCAGGAAGAGAAGAGACCUUGAACAGUGAUGGAGGCAGUGAAGGAACUUCGGUAUAAGAGAUUGCAUCCCAUUUCUUCACUGGUCCCACCAAGGUGACCAGCUGUGUGACAAAUCCUCUAGAAUCUGGAGCUGACCCCUGAGGGGAAGAGAUAUCUUUGAAGGUGGAGAGUUAGCUUGAUUUAUUCCUCUUCUCAAGUGCCAACCCACUGAAGGUGCUUGAGAAAUGUUUAUGGGCUGAAGGGAGAACCGGUGUUAUGAACUGAAUGUUUGUGCUCACCCUCUACAAAAGAAUGUAUAUGCUGAAGCCCUAAUCACCAAUGUGACUGGAUUUGAGGUUAGGACCUCAGGAGGUGAUUAAGUGACCACAAUGGAGAGACUGAGGAUUAUCAUCCAGCACCACAUACCAACAGAAUAACGUGUGUCACUGACAUGUGAGUAGAACUGAAACGAAGCAGCCAGUUCGUUGGUCACUGAGAGGUGAGUCAUAAUACCAGGCAGAGUUGUGAAGACAAAGAAAUAGAAGACAAGUCCAUGAUCUCCUAGAGCUUCUCUCUUGGUUUAAGAGACAAGAAAAAGUUACUUGAACACAUAUGAUGAAUGCAAAUCAUGUAAAUGAAUCCUAAAACAUGGUGGGAGCAGUCCCACCAGGAAGUGCAGGAGUGGAGAGGCCCUGACAUCACAGGGGAGCCAUGGUGGGGGCUUCAUGAAGGAGCAAUCUGAGAGGCCUGAAGGCCAGCAAGCAGCCUGAGAAGGGCAUCGCAGCUGUUGGAAGAGAAAGGGCUGGCUGGACAGAGCUCAGCUCGUGCUUGAGGAGGGAGCAAGGAGUCAAGUGUGCUGAUGUCCUGAUUUGGAAAAUACUGAGAUGGUGAGAAACAAAGCUGGCCAGCUGGUGGGGCCACAGCAUGGAGGUCCUCAAAUACUCGGAUGCAGAGUUUGAACCGAUAUUCUUAUCUGUGCUGAAUUACGACUGGUCAAAGUGUACACUACAAAAUUCUUAAUGCUUCAGCAAUCUUUACUAACCACUUUUUUUCUUCUACUUGUAAAGCCAAAGAGGGACAAGAAAGGGCUAGAGGAAUGUCUCUAGAAUCAAAGUCAAGACCUCCAGAUUCUAGUACUACCUGUGUUGCUACUUAAUUAUAUGAACUUGUGCAAAUCUUGUUAUUCAUCUGUAGUUUAACUUUGCAUUUGCAACACGAGAUGGUAAAACCGAUACAUAACUCAGUAUUUCUUUAAAAAAAAAUGGAAACAAUAAAUGCACAAAACCCAAAAGUUAGCAUUUAGGGAUAUCAAGACUACUGUUGUCAUCACUGUGAUUCUGCAAGUUCUCCAGAAAAAUUCACGUUAGGACAUAUAGAUGCAGGGCUACCUUCAGCCAUCCAUCCAUUCAACUCUGCCCCAGGCGCCCAAACUGCACGCUUUGUGGAGCUUAUAUUCUAACGGGGAAGUAUAAUUGGUUGCUAGGGCUGCCAUAGCACUGCAGACUGGGUGGUUUAAAUAACAGAAUUUUAUUUUUUACAAUUCUGGAGGCCAGAAGUUUGAGAUCAAGGUGUCAGCAGGGUUGCUUCAUCUGAGGCCUCUCUCUUGGACUUGUAGAUGGCUGUCUUCCCCUUGUGUCUUCACAUGGUCCUCCCUCUAUGAGUGUAUGUCCAUGUGCUUAUGUGUGUGCUAAUCUCUUCAUAGAAGGACACCAGUCGUAUUGGAAGAGGGGCUACACAUAUGACCUCAUUUUACCCCAAUUCCCUCUCCAAAGGACCUAUCUCCAAACACAGUCACAGUCUGAGGUACUGGGUGUGAGAUCAUAUGAAUUUUUCAGGGACACAAAUUUGGCCCAUAACAGAGAGAUAAAUAAUAAACAAGUAAACAAAUAAGGAAUAAAUGGAAUAACAUGAAGCAGACUUGUGUGAGUGGAAUUGCUAUAGAGCGAAGAAUGCAAACACCACCUGGCUUUGAAAGACAGAGUGGACUGUCCCUGCAGGAGAGCAGCAAUGGAGGUGUCGCAAGAUGAGACAAGCUCUGUGUGUUUGAGACUGAGCAUGCACCAGUUGGAAGGCUUGGUUUGGGUCCCUGCAGCUUAGGGGCACAGUGCAAAAGUGUCUGAACCACUUCUAUCAAAAGGGCCCCUGGCUAGAGCUGCUGAGGGUGUCCAUGCCUCCAGGAGAGUCUGCCUCUGGGAAGUGGCCGGCUUAGAUGGUGUCCUCAGACAGACUGGGGGUGCCUCCCAUCCAUUCCCAAGAGGAGCUCAGCACGGCAGGGCUGAAAGAAGGAAGGGCAUGGCUGCAGGUAUACUCAGCAGUGGGAUUACUGGAUCAUAUGGUAGUUGUAUUUUUAAUUUUUUGAGGAACCUUCAUACUCUUUUCCAUAAUAACUAUACUACUUUACAUCCACAAACAAUGUAUGUAAGAGUUUCCGUUUAUCCACAUUUUCCCCAGCAUUUAUUUUUUGGGUCUUUUGAUGAUAGCCAUUCUAAUUGGGGUGAGAUGAUAGCUCACUGUGGUUUUGAUUUGCAAUUCUCUGAUGAUUAGUGAUGUUGAGCUUUUUUUUUCAUAAAUCUGUAUGUUUUCUUUUGAGAAAUGUCUAUUCAAGUCUUUUGCACAUUUAAAAAUCAGAUUAUUGGUUAUUUUGUGCAUUAGUCUGUUCUCACACUGCUAAUAAGGACAUACCCAAGCCUGGUAAUUUACAGAGAAAACAGGUUCAAUGGACUCACAGUUCUACAUUGCUGGGGAGGCCUCACAAUCAUGGUGGAAGGCAAAGGAGAAGCAAAGGCACGUCUAACAUGGUGGCAGGUAAGAGAGGUUGUGCAGGGGAACUCCCAUUUAUAAAACCAUCAGAUCUCAUGAGACUUAUUCACCACCGAAACAAUGGUAUGGGGGAAACCACGCCUAUGAUUCAAUUAUCUCCACCUGGUCCCACCUUGACCUGUGGGGAUUAUUACAAUUCAAGGUGAGAUUUGGGUGGGGACACAGAGCCAAACCACAUCAUUUCGCUAUUGAGUUGUUUGAGUUCCUUAUAUAUUCUGAUUAUUAAUCCCUGUUGGAUGGAUUAUCUCAUUUUGUAGGUUAUCUCUUGACUUUGUUGAUUGCUUUCUUUGUUGUGAAGAAGCUUAUUUGCUAGAUGUAACACGUUUUGUCCAUGUUUACUUUGGCUGCCUGUGCUUUUGAGGCAUUACUUAAAACAUCUUUAC